GUGUUAUUUCAUCUGGUUUAUCAACCUGGUUUUAUUGCCAGCUUGAGUUACCUGCGGUAGGUAGCCUAGUGGUUAGAGCUAGGUAGCCUAGUGGUUAGAGCAGGUAGCCUAGUGGUUAGAGCAGGUAGCCUAGUGGUUAGAGCCAGGUAGCCUAGUGGUUAGAGCCAGGUAGCCUAGUGGUUAGAGCCAGGUAGCCUAGUGGUUAGAGCCAGGUAGCCUAGUGGUUAGAGCAGGUAGCCUAGUGGUUAGAGCCAGGUAGCCUAGUGGUUAGAGCCAGGUAGCCUAGUGGUUAGAGCAGGUAGCCUAGUGGUUAGAGCAGGCAGCCUAGUGGUUAGAGCAGGUAGCCUAGUGGUUAGAGCAGGUAGCCUAGUGGUUAGAGCAGGUAGCCUAGUGGUUAGAGCAGGUAGCCUAGUAGUUAGAGCAGGUAGCCUAGUGGUUAGAGCAGGUAGCCUAGUGGUUAGAGCAGGUAGCCUAGUGGUUAGAGCAGGUAGCCUAGUAGUUAGAGCAGGUAGCCUAGUGGUUAGAGCAGGUAGCCUAGUGGUUAGAGCAGGUAGCCUAGUGGUUAGAGCCAGGUAGCCUAGUGGUUAGAGCAGGUAGCCUAGUGGUUAGAGCAGGUAGCCUAGUGGUUAGAGCAGGCAGCCU
ensembl:lncRNA